UCCCUGUGGUCCACUGGUUAGAAUUCAGCACUUUCAGUGCUGUGGCCCAGGUUCAGUCCCUGGUCAGGGAA
rnacentral:tRNA from 1 species